rnacentral:rRNA from 1 species
CAGCCGCCGCGGUAAAACGUAGGUGGCAAGCGUUGUCCGGAAUUAUUGGGCGUAAAGGGCUCGCAGGCGGUUUCUUAAGUCUGAUGUGAAAGCCCCCGGCUCAACCGGGGAGGGUCAUUGGAAACUGGGAAACUUGAGUGCAGAAGAGGAGAGUGGAAUUCCACGUGUAGCGGUGAAAUGCGUAGAGAUGUGGAGGAACACCAGUGGCGAAGGCGACUCUCUGGUCUGUAACUGACGCUGAGGAGCGAAAGCGUGGGGAGCGAACAGGAUUAGAGACCCCUGUAGUCCCUGUCUCUUAUAC